GUAUUAAAGGUCCUGCCUGCCCAGUGAACCAGUUUCAACGGCCGCGGUAUCCUAACCGUGCAAAGGUAGCGUAAUCACUUGUUCCUUAAAUAGGGACCUGUAUGAACGGCUAAAUGAGGGCCUAACUGUCUCCUACGGCUAAUCAGUGAACCUGAUCUCCCAGUACAAAAGCUGGGAUAUAAACACAAGACGAGAAGACCCUGCGGAGCUUUAAGUAACCCUUGACUUAUACCCCUACACAAGAAAUAAGACCAAGACUACUUUAGGUUGGGGCGACUGCGGGGUAAAACAAAACCCCCGUGAACCUAAUGUACCUCAGACCCACUCGCCUGAAGCACACACAUAUGACCCAGCAACGCUGCUCAUCGAACCAAGCUACCCCAGGGAUAACAGCGCCAUCCCUCUUAAGAGUCCAUAUCGCCAGAGGGGCUUACGACCUCGAUGUUGGAUCAGGACACCCAGCUGGUGCAGCCGCUAUCAAUGGUUCGUUUGUUCAACGAUUAAUAGUCCU
rnacentral:rRNA from 1 species